GCCCCCCCGUGCCCAGUAAUCGGUACGGGUGAUGAGAGUCAGAGCCCGGAGACGGAAUCUGAGACAAGAUUCCGGGCCCUACGGGGCGCAGCAGGCGCGAAACCUUUACACUUGCACGGAAGUGCGAUAGGGGAAUCCCAAGUGCGAGGGCAUAUUAGCCCUCGCUUUUGUUGACUGUAAGGUGGUCAACGAAUAAGAGCUGGGCAAGACCGGUGCCAGCCGCCGCGGUAAUACCGGCAGCUCAAGUGAUGUCCCAUAUUAUUGGGCCUAAAGCGUCCGUAGCUGGCCAACCAAGUCUAUCGGGAAAUCCACCUGCCCAACGGGUGGGCGUCCGGUAGAAACUGGCUGGCUUGGAGCCGGAAGGCUCAGAGAGUACGUCCGGGGUAGGAGUGAAAUCCCGUAAUCCCGGACGGACUACCGAUGGCGAAAGCACUCUGAGAAGACGGCUUCGACAGUGAGGGACGAAAGCUCGGGUCUCAAACCGGAUUAGAUACCCGGGUAGUCCGAGCCGUAAACGAUGCUCGUUAGGUGUGGCACCCACUACGAGUGGGUGCUGUGCCGUAGGGAAGCCGCUAAACGAGCCGCCUGGGAAGUACGUCCGCAAGGAUGAAACUUAAAGGAAUUGGCGGGGGAGCACUACAACCGGAGGAGCCUGCGGUUUAAUUGGACUCAACGCCGGACAUCUCACCAGCCCCGACAUCAGUAAUGACGGUCAUGUUGACGACAUCCGCCCGAGCUGAUGAGAGGAGGUGCAUGGCCGCCGUCAGCUCGUACCGUGAGGCAUCCUGUUAAGUCAGGCAACGAGCGAGAUCCACGUCCCUAAUUGCCAGCACCACCGCCAGGUGGGUGGGUACAUUAGGGAGACUGCCAGUGCUAAACUGGAGGAAGGAAUGGGCAACGGUAGGUCAGUAUGCCCCGAAUGGGCUGGGCAACACGCGGGCUACAAUGGUCAGGACAACGGGUUCCAACACUGAAAAGUGGCGGUAAUCUCGCAAACCUGGUCGUAGUUCGGAUUGCGGGCUGAAACUCGCCCGCAUGAAGCUGGAUUCGGUAGUAAUCGCGUGUCAGCAGCGCGCGGUGAAUACGUCCCUGCUCCUUGCACACAA
rnacentral:rRNA from 1 species